rnacentral:lncRNA from 1 species
UUUUUACAUAACUACGCAGUUACUUCCCUUCGGACCAACACGAUCGAAUUUACUACAGUAUUUUUUUAACAAUCCAGCUACAAUCCUCGCAAUUUGAAGCAGUAUAUCUGUUAGCAUGCCUGAUGUUGACUGGGGAGGUAUAUGUGCACUCAUGCAGAAGAAGUAGAAGUUUUCACAUCCAAUUUGGCAUUUAGAGAAGCUGAUCUGAAGUCCGGUGUUGGCAGUGUGUGAUCGACAACCCUUGUUUUGCCUCGCUGCGCUCUAUUACCUUGUAGACAUUGUGGAACUUGGACAUGUUCUACUACACCAAAUCAGAACCAGUUGGGACAGUGCGGUUUUCGUAGGGAGCCUUCAGUGCAGAUCGAGGGAUAUUUGCAGGUUGUGAAUGGAGGAUAUUCUAUGGUAUUCAGAAAUGCCUCCAAGGAGUGGGUGCUGUUGCCAGACUAUGCCAAAUGAACAUUUCUUGUCCGACAAGGGGAGGCAUCGCCAGGUAAACAUGGCUUAUGUCACAGUUGACCAUUGGACAGUGAUGAAUAUGGUCAUCGAUGAAGACAGAUGUUGAUUGUUUGAAAUGUUUAGUGUGAACCUAAAGAAAUAAUCCAACAGCAAAGUUUUUGUAAAGAUUUGUUUUCGCCACAUACCUCUAGACGAAAAUGUUUGUGAAGAUAUUCUAAACGAGUUGUUAAGAUGAGCUGUCAGUGUAUUCAAUUUCUGAUAUCUGGGA